UCGAGAAUUUUUCACAAUGGGGGAAACCCUGAUGGAGCGACGCCGCGUGGAGGAUGAAGGCCCUUGGGUUGUAAACUCCUGUCAUAAGGGAACAAGAAAGUGAUAGUACCUUAAGAGGAAGAGACGGCUAACUCUGUGCCAGCAGCCGCGGUAAUACAGAGGUCUCAAGCGUUGUUCGGAUUCAUUGGGCGUAAAGGGUGCGCAGGCGGUGUGGUAAGUCGGAUGUGAAAUUUAGAGGCUUAACCUCUAAACUGCAUCUGAUACUGUCAUGCUAGAGGACUGUAGAGGAGAUUGGAAUUCACGGUGUAGCAGUGAAAUGCGUAGAUAUCGUGAGGAAGACCAGUGGCGAAGGCGAAUCUCUGGGCAGUUCCUGACGCUCAUGCACGAAGGCUAGGGGAGCAAACG
rnacentral:rRNA from 1 species